CCCAUCGUCGCGGGUUUCGUCCGUUUUUCUACACAAUAAGUGAAAUUCAAAUGACACGGUCGCCGAUGCAGUCGGCACAUUCGAGGUCAAGACCUCGUUCGUGUCAUUUGCGGUCGUCCUAUUCACAGGUAGGUAUAAUUGUGUGCCGGGCACAAAUGGCCCAAAUUUUUUUCGGGGUAACUCAAGUCUGUCCCCAUAAUAUGGGAAGGGAUUUCGUUAUUCGUUACAAUGUAAAUUAUCGCGUUUUUAAUCCACGGUUAAAUGAAAUCUAUGCGUAAAUCUUGCGCGAAAAACAUAAACCGUCAGCGUAUUUGAAGAAGAUUAAUUUUUUCUAAUUUCAGGGGUUUCACGUUUGUAAAUAUUGAAAAUAGCGGCCGUUUUUAUCGUGUUUUAUCGUAAUUUAUUUCCCGCGUAUGCACAACACAGUAGGUUUUUUUACACGAUUAGUGGUACCAUUGUUCAAACAAUGUAGAACGUUUACAACAUUUUUUUUUUUUUUUUUCAAUAAUUAUAAAUCCGUAUUCGAGUUUAAUUUUUAAAAACGAUGUAUCCUUUGUACUAUACGUACUUUAAACUGGUAGGACUUGGUAGGCACUUUGGGGGACUAAGUCUCUCCAAGCUCCCCCCACCCCAAUUUGCGCCUAUGUCCGGGGCACUUGUGGUCAUGAUAUAAAAUACUAAAUAAACAAGGUGUACACUAUUGCUCACCCAUACUACGAAUAAUGAUAUUAUAAUAUUACGAAUUAUUUAUGAUAAAUUGUUUGUUUUAAUUUCCAGCCUAAUAGGAGGUUUUCCUUUCAUUCUCUCAGUCAGCCAUCAUCAAUAUCUGUCAGUGGAAUUUAUAAUGUUGAUAUAUCGUUUUCCGGCACCGGCCGCCUCAACAGUCAUGUCCAUAAUAUUUCUUUACAAGUACACUUCGGAAAGGAAGUGUGUUUGCAGCUGUAGAGUAAAAUUUCCUAAUUUCCAAUGGUUUGUAUACACAUUAAAAUCAUU